rnacentral:rRNA from 1 species
GAUGAACGCUGGCGGUGUGCCUAACACAUGCAAGUCGAGCGAGGGUUUGCUCAGUAUUGAGUAUUCUAAGUCUAGAAUGUUCAAUUCUGAGCAAAACCAAGCGGCGGACGGGUGAGUAACGCGUGGGUAACCUGCCCUAUACACAUGGAUAACAUACUGAAAAGUUUACUAAUACAUGAUAAUAUAUAUUUGCGGCAUCGCAGAUAUAUCAAAGUGUUAGCGGUAUAGGAUGGACCCGCGUCUGAUUAGCUAGUUGGUGAGAUAACUGCCCACCAAGGCGACGAUCAGUAGCCGACCUGAGAGGGUGAUCGGCCACAUUGGAACUGAGACACGGUCCAAACUCCUACGGGAGGCAGCAGUGGGGAAUAUUGCACAAUGGGCGAAAGCCUGAUGCAGCAACGCCGCGUGAACGAUGAAGGUCUUCGGAUCGUAAAGUUCUGUUGCAGGGGAAGAUAAUGACGGUACCCUGUGAGGAAGCCCCGGCUAACUACGUGCCAGCAGCCGCGGUAAUACGUAGGGGGCUAGCGUUAUCCGGAUUUACUGGGCGUAAAGGGUGCGUAGGUGGUCCUUCAAGUCGGUGGUUAAAGGCUACGGCUCAACCGUAGUAAGCCGCCGAAACUGGAGGACUUGAGUGCAGGAGAGGAAAGUGGAAUUCCCAGUGUAGCGGUGAAAUGCGUAGAUAUUGGGAGGAACACCAGUAGCGAAGGCGGCUUUCUGGACUGCAACUGACACUGAGGCACGAAAGCGUGGGUAGCAAACAGG